AAGUCGUAACAAGGUUUCCGUAGGUGAACCUGCGGAAGGAUCAUUAACACGUAUCCAACGUUAAAAACCCCGUGCAUUUUAUCCCUGCUCUCCUCACCUCAACAAGCAAUCUCCGGUAAAUCACAACGAACAGUUUGAUUCAGAGACUUCUUGAAGACGGAUGGAGCGGUAGAGCAAAUAGACUUGGUUUCCGAAAGGAUAACUGAUACUUACUCAGGUCGUUGACCCUCACGGUCAACGGACAGGUCAAACCCGUAUGUGAAAGUCGGGCUUGCAAACUACAGGCCCACAAAACGAACAACUGUUAACAAUGGAUAUCUUGGUUCUC
rnacentral:misc_RNA from 1 species